GACGAACGCUGGCGGCGUGCUUAACACAUGCAAGUCGAGCGGAGCGGCGAACGGGUGAGUAACGCGUGAGUAACUGCCCCCCUCUCUGGGAUAACAGUUGGAAACGGCUGCUAAUACCGGAUAGUGGGGGAUGACUCGCGUCCUAUCAGCUUGUUGGUGGGGUAGUGGCCUACCAAGGCGAUGACGGGUAGCCGGCCUGAGAGGGCGACCGGCCACAUUGGGCUGAGAUACGGCCCAAACUCCUACGGGAGGCCGCAGUGGGGAAUAUUGCACAAUGGGGGAAACCCUGAUGCAGCCAUGCCGCGUGUGUGAAGAAGGCCUUCGGGUUGUAAAGCACUUUCAGCGAGGAGGAACUUAAUACGUUCAUCAAUUGACGUUACUCGCAGAAGAAGCACCGGCUAACUCCGUGCCAGCAGCCGCGGUAAUUC
rnacentral:rRNA from 1 species